rnacentral:lncRNA from 1 species
GUUUACAAGUUCAAGCAGUGCUUGGACUUGGUUGGUGUUCAUUGUUAGUGAUUGCCCGUUGGGGCUUUUGUGAAGAAGGUGGAGCAAGUUUUGUUGGGACAUGCCAAGGUGGAGAUUUGUUAGUUUGGCAAGUCCCAUAGUCCCACAUCGGGAAAAUCAGACUUGUUGUCUCGUCUUGGAACUAUAAAUAAGAGCCUGAGCUUUGAUGUUAGACACACCACGAGAAGUACCACAGACACCACAAGAAGUACAGCAGGCAUCAUAAGAAAACCUGCUUAUGGUUUGAAGUCUUCUUGUUUAGGAAGCUGAAGUUGUUUUAUGGCCUAGGAACAUUUCCUAAGGCAUUUGUAAGUGUCCCUCUUUUAUAAUAGUAAUUUGCUCCUCUUUCUUCCGUGGAUGUAGGUCAAAGUCAAUUGACCGAACCACGUAUAUCUGGUGUUCUGGUGUUCUGUUGUUCUUGUCACUUUAUUCUUUCCGCU